AUCAUUCUGCCUGUACUGCGGCACGUCCACGAUGGGCCGCAUGGGGAGCAGCAGGAACCUACGGUGUGGUGAGAACACACCGAGGCAGACCCAGCAGGGGGAAGCCCCGGGAGCUCCCAGAAACUCAAGUACCAUGAACUUCCGCUCAAGUGGGCCGCUGGUGGAGGGCGCAUGCGCGUCCUGUGCCCUGCUGGCCUCCGUCACCUCGCUCGUGUCCGAGGGCUGUCAGAUUUGAGGUAUAAGGGCCAACUCCUUACAAGGAAGGCCCAUACUGACAGAACCCGCCUUGCCCCGUGCCUGGAACCUCUGCUGGGUCUCGGAAGCGCUCCUUCUCGGGUCCCCCGCUGAGGAGGGUGCAUACCAAUACCACCCGCCUUCCGCCUUCCGCCUUGCGCCUGCGGUGGGGCUCCAACGGCCUGCGGCACCUGCGGUGAAUUUCCGCCCGCCGCCUCCAGGGCCUAUGCAGCCACCCGCACGGGCGUGACAUCCCCCAGGUUGGAGGCACCUGUCCGCGUCACGUCAGAACUGAAUCCGUGCGGGAGGGGACCGUGCAAGGGUGUGAAUACGAACAGACAAGGCUCUUGGAAGAUCCUCUUGGAGGCCGGCUAUCCACCGCAAUAAUGAUGUGUCAUCUAUUCAGUACCUAUUAUGUGCUUGGCUUUAGAUGGGAAUGAUCUCACUUCAUCCUCACUACAGCCUUAUAUGGGUGGUCCUCCAGAAACCUGUUAUAAUUCUACUCCAUUUGAAAGCUAUGCAUCUGUUAGGAUCUUUAGAAGGAGUCUUUACACUCAAAGCAAAUGGAGAAAAAGGAAGCCAGAUCAUCUCAAUGGAAUCUGUGGCCAGACCAGAAAAUGAGGCAGGACCCGGGAGAGCUGAAUUGAGAGAAGAGGCAGAGAACAAAAGUCCUUCCAGCCAACCAUUAAUCCAGGGCUGCUUUCUCUGGAUAGGCCAAUAGAAAGAGGUUUUGAAGGGCUUUACAAAUACUCUUUCUAAAGUUUAAUAAUUACUCAAAAAAAAUUUAAUUUCUGUAAGAUUUAUUAUAUGUUUUUAAUUCUAGGUUACAUAUGCCCAUCUCACUGUUGGCAUGAAGGGCAGUUAUGCUAGCAUUCGAGCUUACCA